rnacentral:lncRNA from 1 species
CAUUUGGGAGCAUGUGCUUGCCCCACCGGUGACCCUCGCAUUCAGCCCCUGAAGAUGUCCCUUGUUCCCUGCUCAUGCCCACCACAUCCACAAUGUCAGGGUCUCUCACCAGCGUUGACAAUGGCAUCCACCUCCAGCUUGGUGAUGUCCCCACGGUACAGGGAGAUUUUCUCAUUCAGUUGCUUGUCCUUCUUAUACUUGGGGUCCUCCACCUUCAC